rnacentral:rRNA from 1 species
CUGCUGGUUUAGACCCUUAUGGACUGGCUUCUAACCGUCUG